CGGAACCCGAGGACAGGAGCCUCACAUGAAAGAAACUAUCAUGAACCAAGAGAAACUCGCCAAACUGCAGGCACAAGUGCGCAUUGGUGGGAAAGGAACUGCUCGUAGAAAGAAGAAGGUGGUUCAGCAGAUGACAAAAAACUCCAGUUCUCCUUAAAGAAGUUAGGCGUGAACAAUAUCUCUGGUAUUGAGGAGGUGAAUAUGUUUACAAACCAAGGAACAGUGAUCCACUUUAACAACUCUAAAGUUCAGGCAUCUUCGGCAGCAAAUACUUUCACCAUUACAGGCCAUGCUGACACAAAGCAGCUGACAGAAAUGCUUCCCAGCAUCUUGAACCAGCUUGGUGCAGACAGUCUGACUAGUUUAAGGAGACUGGCUGAAGCUCUGCCCAAACAAUCUGUGGAUGAAAAAGCACCACUUGCUACUGGCGAGGAUGAUGAUGAUGAAGUUCCAGAUCUUGUGGAGAAUUUUGAUGAGGCUUCUAAGAAUGAGGCAAACUGAAUUGAGUCAACUUCUGAAGAAGAUAGAAGAAGUUACAGGACCUGCUAUUUUAUAAUAUGACUGCUUUUUAAAAUUCUUUUGUUUAUGGGUCUGAUAAAAUCUAGAUCUCUUAAUAUUUUUAAGCCCAAGCCCCCUGGACACUGCAGAUCUUUUCAGUUUUUGCUUAUACAAAAUUCAUUCUUUGUAGCUAAUGAAGCUAAUAAAGCCUGGGAAUAAAGGUUGAAACAAAGGUUAAUACAAUUCUUUGCCUAGUAAAAAA